CACGGAGAGGGCAAGCGUUAUUCAUAUGUAUUGGGUGUAAAGGGUAUGUAGGUGGCUUUCAAAACCAUUUGUUAAAUUUUUGAGAAGAACUGAAGAGAAACAAUUGCAGAUUGGAAAGCUUGAGUUAUGUAGGGGUUAGGAGAAUAUCAUAAGGAGGGUUAAAAUUCGUAGAUCUAUGAUCGAAGACCAAAGGCGAAGGCACCUUUCUAUGCAUAACUGACACUGAGGUACGAAAGUAUGGGUAGCAAACGGG
rnacentral:rRNA from 1 species